CCACGACCAGCCCGCCGCCGCCGCCGCCGCCGCCGCCCACCACCUCGACGCCGCCGCGGCCGCCGCCUACCCCGCCUACCCUGCCGCCUCCAUGGCGGGGCUGGAGGCGCAGGUGCAGGAGUCGUCCAAGGACCUGUACUGGUUCUGAGGCUAGGCGCGCCGCUGGGCUCCAGCCGGCGCACCCACAGCCCCAGGACCUCGCCUGCGCGUGCUCGCAUCUGCUCCGCUCCUGAGGACGGCACCACCACAGCCGAAACCGCCACACCGUAGCAGCCUCCCACAGCCGACUCCGCGGGCCUAAGUGUCCAUCCAGUACUCGGCGCACGGCACGCGGCGUUCCUGGACAUCAAGUGUGAAUCUCUUCCAGAUCUCGAGCACUGAACGCAGCUAACGGUCCUUCUGUUUAGCCGUACAUAUGUGACAUACGAAUAACACAGUGGAAUUCAGACUUCUCAAAAAUCAUCUGUAAUUACAUACUUGUGAAAGCCUAGAUUUCUGAUAUUUAAUAGUAUUUCAGUCAAAGGUGGGAGCUGUGGUGUCGAAGACAACCGCAAAAGAGUGCAAUAAGAGACUUCACACUUAAAAUUAUGAUAUCCAAACUACAGAACGACAAAAGAAAGUUCAUUGCGGUAUUGGUGACUACAGGCCAGGAGAAUUUUUCUUGAGUCACAGGACUUGUACAAGCAAGAAGCACAGUGCAGGAUUAGCGCCUGUGUAGAAAUGAAGUAAAUGGCUCUCAAGCAUUUCACUUCGAAUCGAAAUGUUUGUCGCAGCCGUGUAAGCAAUGAGAAAUGUAGGACGUAAUGUCUGUGGUGACAGUGCUGUAGCCUAAAGUCUGAAUUUAAUGAAGAGUAUAUUUAAAAACGUGACGCAACAUUCUUGUGAGAAGGCCAUUGUGGAAUAAGCCAAACUAAUCUGAUUUCAGAUGUCGUGUAUCUUUGUACCAUUUGAGUCGUGGUGAGGUUCCGCAGAAACCUUCCGUUACAUGUAGCAAAAGUUAGGUAUUUAAAAUAUUAGGCGUGCAAAUAUAUAAUGUUCUGGCGUGAUAAUUUGCAUUGAAGACUAUUUUUACGUUUUCAGAUAGCAGGUAACCACGUUAUCAAGAAAUAUUGUGACGAGUUGGGUCAGUCAUUGUUUGGCGGGUGUGCCUGCACAGGUUGUUCGUCACACAGAUGCAGCAAGAGUUUUGUAAAUAGUUUUUCUCAAGACAGAUGUAACUAACAAGGAGGCAUUUUGAUCUCGCAGGUGCUUGCGAGUUGGAGCUGUGUGUGUGUGUGUGUGUGUAUGUACAGACGCCACGAAGCUCUGACGUACUAAAUGUGCGGCUGCUGUUGCCCGCAAGAACUGCUUACGAUUUUCUUGUGUAAAUAGUAUAAUAUUCGCUAGUGGAGAUCCACGUGACCCAAAUGAGAGUAGCAGUUGCUAUGUCUGCAGCUGAUCGGCAGCACAGAAAAAGACAUUGGAGUUUCGUACAUAGCCGUUGUGAGUAGACUGUUUUGUAGUAUAUCAUUCACCGUGUGCCACCAUAUGGUUCUGCGCUUUCCUCCAUGCCCUGUUGUAUUAAAUAGAGCAAACAAAUAUGUAUUCCUCGUAAUUUAAGGCUUUCGCCGGGAGAUCGUACGAGAAGCCAACCUUUACGAUUAAGUGGAUAAGUGUUGCCACUAUUUCCAUGUUAGGAAUAUUAUAUUAAUGAUUAUUUCACUGUAAACAGUAAGGCUACUAACACAUAUGUGCAAUGAUACUGUUAAGAACGUUUUGUGCUGCGACUUUUCAUAAUUUAUUUAUCGAUUGAAAGUUUGUUGUAUUUUUCGUGCUGUGCGACAUAGUAGAAAUUAUUUUUAUCGUUUACUGUCUUUGUAAUAAUAGAAUUAAUAAUGUACUUCUUUUGUUCAGCGAAAGUUGCUUAACGCCACUGCUACAGUGGCAACAAAUAUUGCGUAAGAUGAAGCUAUUUCAACGAACUAUAAGAAAACGCUGGCAUCUUUGAAAACAUUUUAGUUUGCUUCAGUGUUAGAGAUUAUUUUGGAAGUUGGCAAAAUUUUCGACUGGUAGUAAGUAAGUUAUUACCGUUUAUAGUGACAUAAGCACUAAUAUGACUGACGCAGAUCACUUGCCUUGCUCUCCAACAUAAGUAUAUGUACAGUACGGCAAGGCAGUUAGCGAGGUGCUGUUUCAGCGAUGGCAAUGAAAUAUGAACCGUUCUUGCAGCUUCUUACCAGCUGUUCCAAAAUAAUGUUCUAGGCUACAUACGGAUGACUGUAUAGUAACGGAAAAUGUUUGGCGUAGAUUAAGCGUCCUCUAAUGAUGAUACUGUACGAUGUUUGUCUCAGUAGUAGCCUAUACUGCCUGCAGAAUUAUACUGCAUUGUAUUUAAACAGAGAUUCGCUUGGGGUACAUUGUGUUAUGGAUGGGAUUUCAUUCUCAUUGUAGAUGCUCUACAGUGUUGGAGGCCUUUAAUUUUGAAGAACUGGAUUCCAAUCCUGAAAUUGCACCUAAGGCCUGUUGCAGCGGCGAGUGUUCCAGAUAACGGAAAUACUAAAAUUAUGUUCUCAUUAGAAACAUUAUAAAGCAAUCACUCUACUGAAAUUUUAGUUGUUAAAGAUGGUGUGUUAAGGUUACGGAAGCUGGGAAGCUCACUGAAACAGCAAAUCAAACUGCCCGCCACUUUAACAGCGUGCUUUCGAUUUGCACUCAGUUUUCUCUUAAUUAGGCGGAAUUAUCGACUCAUCAUUAUGCUCUGUAUGUGUAUAUUUCUUUAUUAUAUAUGUAUCAUGCAGCGUUCGUAUGACGUAUCACUCAUAGACACCGAUGUGUAAGUAAAUGUAUGAUAGUUAUAAACGUGAUUUUUGAAUGUGCCAUUUGUUUCUUGUCAUUUACGUUGCAAGUAAACAAUUUAUUGAAACUAA